UGAGUAAUUUAUUCGAGAUUUCGAGUCCGGUGUAGACGGCAAACGAUCUCCCGGGUAAGCGUAUAAAUGCGAGCGAGCGAAAGAAGCUCCCGUUGGGAUGAGGAACAGCGCACUAGAGAAGAAGAUAGACUAGGAUAGGAGGGUGUUUCGGUGGAAAAGCAGAGAACGGUGCUCGAGAGCAGUCGCGGAGAGCAAGGAUGUCAUGCGCCGGCAAAAGGUUCUCGCGCCAAUCCUCGACCCCCGACGACUUUACCCGGAUUUCUCGCUUACAAGACUGCAUUCGAAUGCUGGAUGGAAAUGGAUGUUUCUCGUGGUCACCACUCGUGAUGAUACGGAUUCGGAAUUUGAGUCCACGAAGACACUUUCUCACAGCGCUCGGAGCAAAAACGAGAUACGAUAUGACGGAUGGAAGCCUCUAAUAUCCAGUAAAGUCAGCGUGCAAACUAAGACGGAGGUAUGAACACGCGGAUGGAUUAUGGACGUUUGCGAUGCAUGGUCCGCGUGCGCCCUUCCCCUCCGCCCUCCCCUCAGCGCGAGCUUUAGGCGCGUGCGAGCCGGAUUUAUGACCCCCAUUAUGACGUUGACGUAUCGCCUUCGUGAGGGUGGCCUAAACCAAACCCAAGGCGAAUCUAAGCCCCGUGUAUCUAAGCCAACGGCUAGCCACAGGUCACCGCGACUGGUACGAGAAUACUUGGGACUAAUCCUGCGGUUCACCGUAUAUCUGCGAUAGCUGUAACUAAUGACGAGUUUCAUCCCUCUAACAUUUCACUCGCGUAUAACACUUUUUUUUUUUACCAUACUCGUUCUUUUGGAAAAGAAUUGAACGAUAUUUUGCAAAGAAAAAAAAAAAUGUUAAACGAAAUUAUAUUCUUUACAUUGGUAAGGGAUACAUCAGAUACGAGAAUUUGAUAUCGAGAAAAUCAAGGAUAGAAAAGUCGUUUAAA